GUGGGGAAUAUUGGGCAAUGGGGGAAACCCUGACCCAGCAACGCCGCGUGAAGGAAGAAGGUUUUCGGAUCGUAAACUUCUAUCCUUGGUGAAGAUAAUGACGGUAGCCAAGAAGGAAGCCCCGGCUAACUACGUGCCAGCAGCCGCGGUAAUACGUAGGGGGCAAGCGUUGUCCGGAAUGAUUGGGCGUAAAGGGAGCGUAGGCGGCCUGGUAAGUCUGGAGUGAAAGUCCUGCUUUUAAGGUGGGAAGUGCUUUGGAUACUGUCGGGCUAGAGUGCAGGAGAGGUAAGCGGAAUUCCCGGUGUAGCGGUGAAAUGCGUAGAGAUCGGGAGGAACACCAGUGGCGAAGGCGGCUUACUGGACUGUAACUGACGCUGAGGCGCGAAAGUGUGGGGAGCAAACAGGAUUAGAUACCCGGGUAGUCC
rnacentral:rRNA from 1 species